rnacentral:rRNA from 1 species
GAUGAACGCUGGCGGCGUGCCUAAUACAUGCAAGUCGAGCGAACAGACGAGGAGCUUGCUCCUCUGACGUUAGCGGCGGACGGGUGAGUAACACGUGUAUAACCUACCUAUAAGACUGGUAUAACUUCGGGAAACCGGAGCUAAUACCGGAUAAUAUCUUGAACCGCAUGGUUCAAUAGUGAAAUACGGUUUUGCUGUCACUUAUCGAUGGAUCCGCGCCGCAUUAGCUAGUUGGUAAGGUAACGGCUUACCACGGCGACGAUGCGUAGCCGACCUGAGAGGGUGGUCGGCCACACUGGAGCUGAGACACGGUCCAGACUCCUACGGGAGGCAGCAGUAGGGAAUCGUCCGCAAUGGGCGAAAGCAUGGCGGAGCAACGGCGCGUGAGUGAUGAAGGUCUUCGGAUCGUAAAACUCUGUUAUUAGGGAAGAACAAAUGUGGAAGUAACUAUGCACGUCUUGACGGUACCUAAUCAGAAAGCCACGGCUAACUACGUG